UACAGAGGGUGCAAGCGUUGUUCGGAAUUAUUGGGCGUAAAGGGCGCGUAGGCGGUGCUGUAAGUCUGUGGUGAAAUCUCUGGGCUCAACUCAGAGUCUGCCAUAGAAACUGCAGUGCUGGAGUGUGGGAGAGGUGAGUGGAAUUCCCGGUGUAGCGGUGAAAUGCGUAGAUAUCAAGAGGAACACCUGAGGUGAAGACGGGUUGCUGGGCCGACACUGACGCUGAGUGCGCGAAAGCCAGGGGAGCAAACGGG
rnacentral:rRNA from 1 species